GCGGCAGUUAGGGGAGCGGCCAACCGGACCGGUAACGAAACAUAAGAAACCCAGCAGAAGAGCCGGUCUGGAUGACCUCAACACAUCUUUCCGCGAUGAACCGGCGACCAACGCUCUUAGCGGUAGCCAGCUAAUACGGCAGAUUCCGUAGGGCAGGAGACACGGAGGAUUGCAGUUCCGCCGUAUCACUUCCUCAAGUACGCGUUUGAAAGAACCCAACGGUAGAAUUCGAGUCCGUUGAUGUGGUGGGAGUUGGGAAUGGUUGCGUACGGAUGCGUGGCAUCGGACACGGUGGAAGCGCAACGCGGAUCUCCUCCAUGUGGCGUUCUCCGAGACUCCAACCUACCGUUCUCGUACAACCGAAGGUUCUACUGGGAAAUGUUCGUCUGUGAAUGUUAUUUUUUUGCGCCAUGACGUGAGGAAAAAAAUAGGGAAAAAUGUCAGCCAUUUGCCUCGGUUCAUUUUCUGUCUGCUUCUCGUUUCGACCACAACACUACUGCUGCACAGUUCGGAUGUGUUCUGGGGAAAAUUGUCUUUUAGGCUAAGAAAGAUUCAAAAAAAUUUUUGUCUUCAGUACAAAAAGUCUUGUUAAGAGAAAA